GCUCAUGACGGAGACACCCCUCUCAUGGAAGUUCAGACCGGUGAAGAAGGAGCACAAGAGGCUCGCUGGUCUGCUGACGGCGAUCCAACAGCUGAAGGCGCGAGGCCUCACCGGCAGCGGCGCCAUUGGCGCAUAUCACGCGAGGGGGGUUGCGCCCAUCAUGGCGCGGGCCCUCUCGCUGCACCAAAUGGGACUGUCCUGUCGUGGGUGGUGGCCAGGCCCUUAGAAAUCCAGCAACGGCUUAAGGAAGCAUUCGAGGUUCCUCCUCCGUAUCCCGACCCCCAGCAACCACCGAUGCUCCCGGAGGCCGGGGCCGUCGUUGUGGUCAGCUUUCACUUCUGUCCGACCCCAUGUUUCAUUUCCUCUUCUUCCUUUGUUCUUAAUUUUUCUUUUGCCGCUUGAUUUCCUAGAAUCUAACCUCUUUCUUCCUUUCCAAUGCGCCAUUGCCCGAGGAUGCUGCCGCGCAUGAGGCGAACCGGCUCGCCGCCGAGGCAAGGACGAAGGAGGAGAAGAAGAAGCUGAAGAAGAUUCAGUGAGAGCAGAGGAGACAUGACCUCACCAAGCACCGGAAGGCCGGCCUAAUCACCACGAAUGAGGAGGAGGAGAAGCUGAGCAAGUUGGAUGCCGACGAUGACGACGACGACGAUGGUGAUGACGACGUCAUGGAGGAUGAGGAGGAAGAAGAGGAUCCCAUCGAUUGGGGGCCCUGGCAUGCGGCGAUGAUGGUACCGAGGGAGAGCAAUUGUCCUCGGCCACGGUGAGGAAAGAUGUCCCUUCCUCGUCGCGGGGGAUCCCCGCCUGGGGCGGCGCCGCAUCCAGUGCGUGGCAGACGGUGUCAAGGGGGCAGAGCUCCUCCCCUUCCCGGAGGUCGGGGAGGGGCACCGAUCAGAAGGACGUGGAGGCCAGCGCCUCCCAUGCUGCAGCGGGAGUGCGGAGGGUGUCUUCCACUCUGUCACCGGCAAGUGACCUUGCUCGUUCCGGUGCGCUGCCCAACCCACGUCCGGCCGCGAGCACACUGGGGAAGCGCCAUGGCGGCACCGGACCGCCAUCUGCGGGGAGGAUCCCGAAGCGGUCCCAAUCGUCUUCAUCCUGGAGAUGCAGAUCCGAGAUCAGGAGUGCCUGUCCCUGCAGGCGAAGAACCAGGUGAUGGUGGAGGAGCACCAGGUGAUCGCGGAGGAGCUCGCCUUGGCCCGGCGGGCCCUGGAGGACGAGCACCAAGCGAGGGCGGCGGAGCUCAGCACGAUGCGCCAAAUCAUGGAGGACGCCCACGCCCAGUUGGUUGUUGUCGCCACGGAGCUCAAGCAGACCCGACAGGAGUGGGACGAGCUGUGUGGUGGGCUCUAGACCGCCACGCAGGAGUGCGAUGCCGUACGGAAGCGCGACACCACCAUACGGAAGCGCGACAGCACUGUCCGGGAGCGCGACACCGCGGUCGCAAGUGCUGGAGAGGCAUCGAAGUGAGAGAAGACCACGCUCGCGAGCCUCCAAGACGCUCGAGACGAGGCCGCCAGCCUCCGACAAGAGUUGGCCCGGGUCGAGGGCUUGAAGGAGGACGCCAAGGCGACAGUAGCCUCACUAGCCGUGGAAGUUGCCAAUGGUCGUGCCGCCCCGUUAACUUGGAGGGUUCCGUGUUACGUCUUUAGGACGAGGUAGCCGUAGCCGCGAACUCCCUGCACCAAUAGGCGGAGUCGGCGUUGUUGACGGUGCGGGAGCCGCUCGAGCGCGAGGUCACUGUCAACGACAACAUUCGUCUCGUGGCACGGAUCGUGACGGAGGACCUUGGCAUGAGUCCUGCCGAUGACCCAUGGCAGCUCGCGGCCCAGCUUGUCCAGGGUAUGGACGAGGCAUGAAAGGAGACCGAGACUGCGCGCCAGGAGGCGAAGGCCACGCAGUUCGUCGGGGUGCAGCGCGCCUUUGCCGUCGUGCGCAGCCAUUAUGCCAACAUUGCCCUGGACAAGCUGAGCCAGGGGUUCCCCUCUGAUGACACCGACCCCGGGCUCGACGCGAUCGAGGAAGAUGUUGCUCCGUUCGCCCGGACCCUGGUAGACAAGAUGCAGGAGGAUGACACUGAAGAUCACUAGGCCAGUCUCAGUGGGAGUGUUAUAGGAGUGUCAUGGACAUUAAAUUUGCCAACUUGUACCAAUAGUAUGAGGAGAGAUAAGGAGAGAGGAGAGAGGAGUGUCAUGAAAUGUGAGAGGAGUGUCAUCCACUGGCACAGUUCUCAAGUUUUUAGUCUUGGUAAAUGUGUCGAUGACACUCCCACUGAGACUGGCCUUAGAAAGGUCUGUUCAGGGUCGGGUUGUGUAAACUUUUGGUUUUAGUUGGGCGUUAUUGUAAGAACUUUAUGGUUGUUUGAAUAAGCGUUUGUUUUUCGCAACAAAA